rnacentral:misc_RNA from 1 species
AAGUCGUAACAAGGUAACCGUAGGUGAACCUGCGGUUGGAUCAUUAAUAAAUGACAAUGCAAACAGGAGCUUGGGGAGAAUAUCCCCAUCUCCUGCGUCUCACGCAAGUGAGUCGGCAAACCUCUUGUGAAAUGUUCCAGUCUCUGGCGGAUGGGUAUUAGCGGGACAUUCUCUUCUCGAAGGGAGUGUUUGCGCGUACCUGCCAGCAUAUUUUUGGGAAUGGUGAUUGUCUUUUUGACAGUUGCUGUCCCGAUAUGCCGUGGGCAAGCCGCCAAAAGUGUCAAAAAACUCUGUACUUUGUAAUUGUCUGACCAUUUUUCUUGACGUAUUUGCGCGUUUGCAAUAAUACCAUGAAAAAAACAACUUUUGGCAACGGAUCUCUUGGCUCUC